AUGAACGCUAGCGGCAGGCUUAACACAUGCAAGUCGAGGGGCAGCACGGGUAGCAAUACCUGGUGGCGACCGGCGCAAGGGGUGCGUAACGCGUGAGCAACAUGCCCUAUACAGGGGGAUAAUCCAGGGAAACUUGGUCUAAUAUCCCAUAGUAUUUAGAGGAGGCAUCUUCUAUAAAUUAAAGCUUCGGUGGUAUAGGAUUGGCUCGCGUGACAUUAGCUAGAUGGUGAGGUAACGGCUCACCAUGGCAAUGAUGUCUAGGGGUUCUGAGAGGAAGGCCCCCCACACUGGGACUGAGACACGGCCCAGACUCCUACGGGAGGCAGCAGUGAGGAAUAUUGGACAAUGGAUGGAAAUCUGAUCCAGCCAUGCCGCGUGCAGGAAGACGGCCCUAUGGGUUGUAAACUGCUUUUAUAUGGGAGCAAUAAGGUUUACGAGUAGACCGAUGAGAGUACCAUAUGAAUAAGCAUCGGCUAACUCCGUG
rnacentral:rRNA from 1 species